AGCUUUGCGCAGUGGCGGUACCAUAGCCAAUGAGGUUUAUCCGAGGCGUGGUUAUUGCUAGUUGAAAACUAUACCCAAUACCCCGUGCCCGAUACCCUGAAAUAUGGGUGUCGAGUGCAAUUUCUUAACGUCCCUACGGGGA